AUAAACCCGGGAAACUGGGUAUAAUACCCGAUAGAUCUCGACUGCUGGAAUGCAUCGAGAUCCAAAGCUCCGGCGCUCAAGGAUGGGUCUGCGGCCUAUCAGGUAGUAGUGGGUGUAGCGUACCUACUAGCCUACGACGGGUACGGGUUGUGAGAGCAAGAGCCCGGAGAUGGAUUCUGAGACACGAAUCCAGGCCCUACGGGGUGCAGCAGGCGCGAAAACUUUACAAUGCCGGCAACGGCGAUAAGGGGACCUCGAGUGCCAGGUUACAAAUCUGGCUGUCGUGAUGCCUAAAAAGCAUUGCAUAGCAAGGGCCGGGCAAGACCGGUGCCAGCCGCCGCGGUAACACCGGCGGCUCGAGUGGUAACCGUUAUUAUUGGGUCUAAAGGGUCUGUAGCCGGCCGGAUAAGUCUCUUGGGAAAUCCAGCAGCUUAACUGUUGGGCUUUCAGGAGAUACUGUCUGGCUCGAGGCCGGGAGAGGUGAGAGGUACUUCAGGGUAGGGGUGAAAUCUUGUAAUCCUUGAAGGACCACCAGUGGCGAAGGCGUCUCACCAGAACGGACCUGACGGCAAGGGACGAAAGCUAGGGGCACGAACCGGAUUAGAUACCCGGGUAGUCCUAGCCGUAAACGAUACUCGCUAGGUGUCGGCCACGGUGCGACCGUUGUCGGUGCCGUAGGGAAGCCGUGAAGCGAGCCACCUGGGAAGU
rnacentral:rRNA from 1 species